rnacentral:tRNA from 1 species
GCCAGUGUCGCUCAAUGGUUAGAGUGUUGGUUAGAGUGUUGGCCCUCGCACCGAAGGUCGUGGGUUCAAAUCCCAUUAAGGGCA